rnacentral:rRNA from 1 species
AAUCAACGCUGGCGGCGUGCCUAACACAUGCAAGUCGAACGGGAAAACGGGGGCGAACUCCGUGAGUAUAGUGGCGUACGGGUGAGUAACACGUGACUACCUACCUUUGAGUGGGGGAGUAACCCCGGAAACCGGGGACGUAUACCGCAUAACAUCGCAAGAUCAAAGAAGCAAUUACGCUUAAAGAAGGGGGUCGGCGGCUGAUUAGCUAGUUGGUAGGGUAAUGGCCUACCAAGGCGAUGAUCGGUAGCCGGCCUGAGAGGGCGCACGGCCACACUGGAACUGAAACACGGUCCAGACUCCUACGGGA